UGCUGCUGUCGUUGCUGUUGCUGCUGCUGCUGUCGCUGCUGCUGCUGCUGCAGGUGCAGGCACUUGGCCACCUCGGUGUAGCCACGCAGCAGCUGCAAAUUGUU